GCAACUAACUGCAGACCUGUCAGCAUCGUAGAAGACUCUGGUCUUAAAGAAGUGCUACGGUUGGCAUGUUCUGACACGUCUUAUACACUGCCGUCAAGGGGUACAGUAGUUUCACGCAUACACAGCCUGUACAACACAGAGACAGCAGCUAAACAACUGCUGCAAAGUGCAAACGCUGUCUCAUUAACCGGUGAUCACUGGACAUCAGUGAGUAAUCAGAAUUAUUUAGAAGUUACUGCACACUAUAUUGACUCUGGUUGGACUUUGCACUCGUUUGCCUUAACGGUUGUUGUUAGUGUUACAUCUCAGUCAAUU